UUCUGCGUAGUUUAGAGGUUAUGACGGGGCCUUGUCAAACAAGCUCGGCCCAGACCCGGGUUCGAUUCCCGGCGCGGAAG
rnacentral:tRNA from 1 species